rnacentral:rRNA from 1 species
UACGUAGGGUGCAAGCGUUAAUCGGAAUUACUGGGCGUAAAGCGUGCGCAGGCGGCUUUGCAAGACAGAUGUGAAAUCCCCGGGCUCAACCUGGGAACUGCAUUUGUGACUGCAAGGCUAGAGUACGGUAGAGGGGGAUGGAAUUCCGCGUGUAGCAGUGAAAUGCGUAGAUAUGCGGAGGAACACCGAUGGCGAAGGCAAUCCCCUGGACCUGUACUGACGCUCAUGCACGAAAGCGUGGGGAGCAAACGAGG